UACGGGGGGGGUAAGCGUUGUUCGGAAUUACUGGGCGUAAAGGGCUCGUAGGCGGCCAACUAAGUCAGACGUGAAAUCCCUCAGCUUAACUGGGGAACUGCGUCUGAUACUGGAUGGCUUGGAUUCGGGAGAGGAAUGCGGAAUUCCAGGUGUAGCGGUGAAAUGCGUAGAUAUCUGGAGGAACACCGGUGGCGAAGGCGGCAUCCUGGACCACGACUGACACUGAAAAGCGAAAGCCAGGGGAGCAAACGGG
rnacentral:rRNA from 1 species